GCUAGAAUAGCUCAAUUGGUGGAGCAGCUGAUUUGUAACCAGCAGGUUUAGGGUUCGAGUCCCUAUUUUAGCUUA
rnacentral:tRNA from 1 species